UGGGGAAUAUUGCACAAUGGGGGAAACCCUGAUGCAGCGACGCCGCGUGAGUGAAGAAGUAUUUCGGUAUGUAAAGCUCUAUCAGCAGGGAAGAAAAUGACGGUACCUGACUAAGAAGCCCCGGCUAACUACGUGCCAGCAGCCGCGGUAAUACGUAGGGAGCAAGCGUUGUCCGGAUUUACUGGGUGUAAAGGGUGCGUAGGCGGCUUUGCAAGUCAGAUGUGAAAUCUAUGGGCUCAACCCAUAAACUGCAUUUGAAACUGUAGAGCUUGAGUGAAGUAGAGGCAGGCGGAAUUCCCCGUGUAGCGGUGAAAUGCGUAGAGAUGGGGAGGAACACCAGUGGCGAAGGCGGCCUGCUGGGCUUUAACUGACGCUGAGGCACGAAAGCGUGGGUAGCAAACAGGAUUAGAUACCCUGGUAGUCCACGCUGUAAACGAUGAUUACUAGGUGUGGGGGGUCUGACCCCUUCCGUGCCGGAGUUAACACAAUAAGUAAUCCACCUGGGGAGUACGGCCGCAAGGUUGAAACUCAAAGGAAUUGACGGGGGCCCGCACAAGCAGUGGAGUAUGUGGUUUAAUUCGACGCAACGCGAAGAACCUUACCAAGUCUUGACAUCCUGCGACGAUGCUGGAAACAGUAUUUUCCUUCGGGACGCAGAGACAGGUGGUGCAUGGUUGUCGUCAGCUCGUGUCGUGAGAUGUUGGGUUAAGUCCCGCAACGAGCGCAACCCUUACUGUCAGUUACUACGCAAGAGGACUCUGGCAGGACUGCCGUUGACAAAACGGAGGAAGGUGGGGAUGACGUCAAAUCAUCAUGCCCUUUAUGACUUGGGCUACACACGUACUACAAUGGCGUUAAACAAAGAGAAGCAAGACCGCGAGGUGGAGCAAAACUCAGAAACAACGUCCCAGUUCGGACUGCAGGCUGCAACUCGCCUGCACGAAGUCGGAAUUGCUAGUAAUCGUGGAUCAGCAUGCCACGGUGAAUACGUUCCC
rnacentral:rRNA from 1 species